ACACGUAGGGCGCAAGCGUUGUCCGGAUUUAUUGGGCGUAAAGGGCUCGUAGGCGGUUUCGUAAGUCGGGUGUGAAAACUCAGGGCUCAACCCUGAGACGCCACUCGAUACUGCGAUGACUUGAGUCCGGUAGGGGAGCAGGGAAUUCCUGGUGUAGCGGUGAAAUGCGCAGAUAUCAGGAGGAACACCAUUAGCGAAGGCGCUGCUCUGGGCCGGUCCUGACGCUGAGGAGCGAAAGCAUGGGGAGCAAACAGGAUUAGAAACCCUAGUAGUCC
rnacentral:rRNA from 1 species